rnacentral:rRNA from 1 species
AGCAGUAGCCGCGGUAAUACGGAGGGUGCAAGCGUUAAUCGGAAUUACUGGGCGUAAAGCGCACGCAGGCGGUUUGUUAAGUCAGAUGUGAAAUCCCCGAGCUUAACUUGGGAACUGCAUUUGAAACUGGCAAGCUAGAGUCUUGUAGAGGGGGGUAGAAUUCCAGGUGUAGCGGUGAAAUGCGUAGAGAUCUGGAGGAAUACCGGUGGCGAAGGCGGCCCCCUGGACAAAGACUGACGCUCAGGUGCGAAAGCGUGGGGAGCAAACAGGAUUAGAUACCGGGUAGUCCCUGUCUCUUAUACC